CCUACGGGAGGCAGCAGUGAGGAAUAUUGGUCAAUGGACGGGAGCCUGAACCAGCCAAGUCGCGUGAAGGAUGACUGCCCUACGGGUUGUAAACUGCUUUUAUAAAGGCAUAAAGUGAAGCACGUGUGCCCUUUUGUAUGUACUUUACGAAUAAGGAUCGGCUAACUCCGUGCCAGCAGCCGCGGUAAUACGGAGGAUCCGAGCGUUAUCCGGAUUUAUUGGGUUUAAAGGGAGCGUAGAUGGGUUGUUAAGUCAGGUGUGAAAGUUUGCGGCUAAACCGUAAAAUUGCCAUUGAUACUGGCAGCCUUGAGUGCAGUUGAGGUAGGCGGAAUUCGUGGUGUAGCGGUGAAAUGCUUAGAUAUCACGCAGAACUCCGAUUGCGAAGGCAGCCUACUAAACUGCCACUGACAUUGAGGCUCGAAAGUGUGGGUAUCAAACAGGAUUAGAUACCCCUGUAGUC
rnacentral:rRNA from 1 species